AUUGAACGCUGGCGGCAGGCCUAACACAUGCAAGUCGAGCGGAUGAAGGGAGCUUGCUCCUGGAUUCAGCGGCGGACGGGUGAGUAAUGCCUAGGAAUCUGCCUGGUAGUGGGGGAUAACGUCCGGAAACGGGCGCUAAUACCGCAUACGUCCUGAGGGAGAAAGUGGGGGAUCUUCGGACCUCACGCUAUCAGAUGAGCCUAGGUCGGAUUAGCUAGUUGGUGGGGUAAAGGCCUACCAAGGCGACGAUCCGUAACUGGUCUGAGAGGAUGAUCAGUCACACUGGAACUGAGACACGGUCCAGACUCCUACGGGAGGCAGCAGUGGGGAAUAUUGGACAAUGGGCGAAAGCCUGAUCCAGCCAUGCCACGUGUGUGAAGAAGGUCUUCGGAUUGUAAAGCACUUUAAGUUGGGAGGAAGGGCAGUAAGUUAAUACCUUGCUGUUUUGACGUUACCAACAGAAUAAGCACCGGCUAACUUCGCG
rnacentral:rRNA from 1 species